rnacentral:lncRNA from 1 species
UCCAUUUUAUUUAUUACAAAACCAUUCAUUACAAUUAAAACAUUCAAAUUACAUUACACUUCUAAAAUUACAAAGUCAUGAUCCAAAUCCUAUUCAUUCAAAAUUCCAAUUACAUGACUAUACAUAACCGUUCAACACAACCAUUACAAUGUUAUUCCCAAUUUCAAAUUGCAACAAAAACCAUUUUUUACACAACCUGGAUUCCAAUCACAUGCAAUUGUAAACCAACAUUGCAUACCUAAUCCUAUCUCCCAAAAACUACAAAACCCAAAAUCCAAUAACCACUUGAUGACCAACAUGUCCAAAGCUCCACCCAAGCAAUUCCAAGCCAAUGCCCAUCCAAAGUUCAAGUAAAUCCCAAAACCAUGGCCUGCAUAUUUACAAAAAUGAGUAACUUGCAAAAAUCAAAACUUCACAAACUUCUUAAAGAGCUAUAGCAGAAUUUCACCACAACUUCUCAUAAAAAUUGGUUGAGCUUUGCAAGAAAGGGCUAGUAACAGAAUUAUGAACAAACUGAAAGAAAGAAGUUUCAAGGAAUAAUAGAUAUAAGGAAAAAGCAUGACAAUUGGAAGAAGAAAAUAAUUUCUAACAGAAACAACGACAACAUAUUAACCUCUUUAAUAGACCUAACUGCUAAUAGUUUUAACACAUAACAAUUAGCUAUUAGUUUCUAAUUGACUUCAUAGCUGACAACACAUUUCAAAAUUUCUAACUCACUAAAUCACUAACAGAAACCAACCAUUAACAGAAUAUAACCCAACUGUAACAAACUCUCAAAACCUACCCUUCAAUUACCUCCAACAUUUCACCAACUAUACCACCACCCUUCCAAGCUUCUCAACAAACCUCAUAACACUUCCAACUUCCAACUAAACUGAACCCCCUCAAGACAACCUACCAACUAACUGUCAUGAAAACCAACCGAACCCUUAACCGAAAUUCCCUCAAAGCUUUUUCAAGAAACCUGCAACAGAACCUAACAUAACCAUUUUUUCCCCAACCCAAUAACCCCUUCUAACAGAACUGGAACUGACUUCUAACAACCGUUAACUAUCCCUAACCGAAUCCUUCAAUCACUCAAUGAACCUCUAACUUCACUUCAUAACUGAAAUGAUAAACACAAAGACCCUCUAACCAACUUCUUCUAACAACUUCCACAACCUGCAUAACUUCUAAACUGAUUUCUCCAUCACAGAACCAUCCCAAUAACUCCAACAACCUGCAAACAGAACAAACUCCCGAACCUCCUUCAAAAGGGAUAACCGAACUGACUCCCAACCUUCCAAAUUUCAUCAACAACCUUUCUCAACCAUUUACCUAUAACCCUUCAAGCUGGCUAGCUGAAAAUCCAUCCUCACAACCCCCCUAACCAACUUUUCAACUGACAUAACAGAAUCUCUUCAACCAUUUUCCAUAACUCCAUAACUGAAUCCUAACCACCCCUUCUAACUGUCGUAACCAACAUUCAACGAACCCUCAAAGAACGAAUUUCCAGAACCCAAUAACACUCACGCCUCCAUUCGAACCUCGCUCACCCAUACGCCACUCAACCUUCAAUCAUAAAACGGGAGGAGAAGAAGUGAACAGAACAACAACAAUACAAGUAGAACACAAGAGAUGAAGCUCAACAGUAAAAAAGAAAGGGAAGCUUAUUAUUUACCUCAACUUCGACGAGAAGUCGACGACACAUACCAGUUCAUCUCAAUGCACAAGUCCGAACAAAUCUUCGUCUUCAGCUUCAAUCAACAACGCACGAACCAAGCUUCACUCUUUAUCAUCAACGAUAAAUCGGCAUCGACGAACGCGGAAUAAAGCAUUUCAGCAUUCAUCAUACGAUCUCCAUCACGAAUCAACAAGAUCAACAACACAAAUACAAGGUUCUUCCCUCUUCAAUCUUCUCCAUUUCGUGCGAAAUUUCAGUCUCGGUGUUGAAAUACAUCACGAAUCCACCGUCGUUCUCGACUUUUUCAUCGUGGAAGAAACUGAUUUCUUGUUUUUUCGGUGAGUUUUUAUGGGUUGUGCGUGCGAGGGUUAUGCACCGUCGAUGGAGUUCUAUGAUAUGCUGUCGAAGGUGUUGUUCGAGCAAGGAAUCCCGUUAAGAUGGAGCAAUGUAUAGGCUGGGCAUCAUGUAGAUUUUGAUCCCGAUGUUUUAGAAUUAAUGCCAUUGUUAAUCAUGCCACAAUAUGAUAUAAUUUGCCAUUGGUUUUUGAUAAUCCAUUGUGAUCAUUGUGUAGAUUGGGAUUUAUAUAGUUAGAUAUUGAUUUUACCAUGAUUUCGUUAUAGGUUAAUUUCUUCAUUCAAUCCGUAUAUCACAUUAUGAUUGUCAUGAUCAUGUUCAUUUAGAUUAGAAUUCAAUUCAUGAUUUGGAUUAUUAAUAUACCAUUUUCUUUUGUUCCCUAAUUCAUGUUUGGGUAUAUUUAGAUCCUUAAAAUUAAUGUUCACUUUAAUUGUCCAUUUAAUCUAUUCAUUUGGUUUGUGAUCAUAUUGAUAAAUUGAAAAUCCCAUUUCAAUUUAGGUGAUGAAUGUUUUAUAUGCUUAAUUUCAUUUUCCGUGAUCACAUAAUAGAUCUUUGAUUGUUAUUCAUUGGUUAGUCCAUUACCAUUUGAAUUGAU